UUUUUUCAGAGGCUCAAAGUCGUAAUUCCAGACAAGGAAAUAUGCCGUAAUUAAACUAAAUUCCCCUCCCUAUUCGCCUCCUUCACCGUCUAAAUUGUCGGCAGGCCACACGUCCAUGAAGUUCAACGGUAGAGGCAUUGGAUCCAAAAACGAGGCCAGGCCUGAAACAAAAGGUGAUCAAUCACACACGCACGCUACAAACAAGAUCGACGACUUGGAGGAGAUAUAUGCCCGUCCAACAAGCAUCGCAUCGUAUCCCCCACCCCGGUUCCUGGCCGAACAGAUCAAAUCCGUCAAUCGAUCAACAGUGCGGGCUGUCUGGUCAGGGCGCUCACCUAGUCCGUCCCAUCCAUGCAACGGCCCAAGCCAACGUCGUAG
rnacentral:lncRNA from 1 species